CCUACGGGUGGCAGCAGUGAGGAAUAUUGGUCAAUGGGCGUAAGCCUGAACCAGCCAAGUCGCGUGAGGGAUGAAUGUUCUACGGAUCGUAAACCUCUUUUAUAAGGGAAUAAAGUGUGGGACGUGUCCCGUUUUGUAUGUACCUUAUGAAUAAGGAUCGGCUAACUCCGUGCCAGCAGCCGCGGUAAUACGGAGGAUCCGAGCGUUAUCCGGAUUUAUUGGGUUUAAAGGGUGCGUAGGUGGGCUUUUAAGUCAGCGGUGAAAGUCUGCGGCUCAACCGUAAAAUUGCAGUUGAAACUGGGAGGCUUGAGUAUAGUUGAGGUAGGCGGAAUGCGUGGUGUAGCGGUGAAAUGCUUAGAUAUCACGAAGAACCCCGAUUGCGAAGGCAGCCUGCCAAGCCGCCACUGACACUGAUGCACGAAAGCGUGGGGAUCAAACAGGAUUAGAUACCCGUGUAGUC
rnacentral:rRNA from 1 species